GCCUACGGGAGGCAGCAGUAGGGAAUCUUCGGCAAUGGACGGAAGUCUGACCGAGCAACGCCGCGUGAGUGAAGAAGGUUUUCGGAUCGUAAAGCUCUGUUGUAAGAGAAGAACGAGUGUGAGAGUGGAAAGUUCACACUGUGACGGUAUCUUACCAGAAAGGGACGGCUAACUACGUGCCAGCAGCCGCG
rnacentral:rRNA from 1 species